CCGCUUUCUGAGCUGGAC
rnacentral:miRNA from 1 species